rnacentral:lncRNA from 10 species
GUUUACUACAGGAAGACCUUAUUUAUUCUUUUGUAAUGGCUCCAUUGUAUUUUUAUGUGGAUUAUCGUAAUUUAUUUCAUCAGUACUCUGUUGAGAACAUCUCCAUCUCUGAAGACAUUCCAUAAUAAUAAAGUCUUCAACCUCUCACCAGAAGAAAACUUGUUUCCAUGCCAAGGUAAAGAUAAUGCCUAUCUUUGAAGAGGAGGAUGAGGAAGUUGCCAUCAGCUUCUGUAUGAAUCAGAAUGUCCUAAG